rnacentral:lncRNA from 1 species
CCCCAGUGUCUCCAGUGUCCCCACAGUGCUCCCCAGCACUCCCCAGUGCCACCAGGACUCCCCAGUACAGCCUCCGUGUCCCCAGUAUCCCCCAGUAUAGCCCCAGUGUCCCCACAGUGCUCCCCAGAGAUCCCCAGACCUCCCAAUGCCCCCCAGUACAGCCGCAGUGCCUCCCAGUAACCCCCCAGUGUCCCCCAGUGCCCCCCGUGCCAGCCGCACCCCCUGGUGCUCCCUGGUGUCCUCCACACCUCCGGAUGUCGCCCCCCUGGCCUUCAGCACCUCCCUCCCCCCCAGUCCUGCUGCCGGGAGGGGACACCCGGACAAGGACAGCUGGGAAGAGCGGGAGGUUGUUCCCAGGGUCUGGAGCACAUUCCCGGGGGCCAGGACCCCAUUCCCGGGGGAGCAGAGCUCAUUCGUGGCUGUCCCGGGGGGCAGGACUCCAUUCCCGGGGGCAGGAGCCAUUCCCGGGGGGCAGGAGCCAUUCCCGGGGGGCAGGAGCCGUUCCCGGGGGCAGGAGCCCGUUCCCGGUAGUUAGGAGCCCGUUCCCGGUAGUUAGGAGCCCGUUCCCGGGGGACAGGAGGCGGUUCCCGGGGGCAGGACGUGACUCUCGGUGGGACGUGACAAAACUCGCGGUGGGACAUGAAGCCACCCCUAGGGGACUGGAGGUUGUUCCCAGGAGCUGCAGCCCAUUCCCGGAGGCUGGAGCUCAUCCCCGGGAGGCUGGAGUUUGCUCCCAGAGGACUGCAGCCCAUUCCCCGGGGAGCAGGAGACGUUCCCGGGGGGCAGGAGCCGUUCCCGGGGGACAGGAGCCCAUUCCCCGGGGGACAGGAGCGGUUCCUGGGGGACAGGAGCCCAUUCCCCGGGGCCAGGAGCCGUUCCCGGGGGCAGGAGCCCAUUCCUGGGGGCAGGAACCGAUUCCCGAGGGACUGGAGCCCAUUCCCCGGGGCAGGAGCCGUUCCCGAGGGACAGGAGCCGUUCCCGAGGGGACUGCAGCCCAUUCCCGGGGGCAGGAGCCGUUCCCGAGGGACAGGAGCCGUUCCCGAGGGACUGCAGCCCAUUCCCGGGGGCAGGAGCCGUUCCCGAGGGACUGGAGCCCAUUCCCGAGGGACUGGAGCCCAUUCCCCGGGGCCAGGAGCCGUUCCCGGUGGGCAGGAGCCGUUCCCGGGGCUGCAGGGUGUUCCCAGAGGACUGCAGCCCAUUCCCGGGGGCA